CUGUUAUUGGCUGGCAACCAGUUCAGGGUGUACCCACGCCUAAUACCAAAAGACAUCCGAGAUAGGCUCCAGCAUGGCUGUGACCCUCGUCACGACAAAGCGCUUCAGUUAAUGGGUGCAUGGGUGGAAAUGAUUAGCAAAUUCUUAUUACCUCAUUAAUUGAUUAAAAGAUAUAUUUUGGAGAUGUCAAAAUAUCAUUUGAAUAAUUAAAAAUAAAAUUUUACAGAUCGGUAAGCAAAUAUGUUUUUACUUAAAACAACAACAACGUUAUAAUAAUAUAAUUUAAAAAACUAAAGAAAUAACCAAAUAAAACUGUGUUGGUGUCAGACUCAUUUGUAUUACUCUUAUGAUGAAUCGCUAUUAUUUCGUCUAUUGGCGUGCCAGUCUUA